rnacentral:rRNA from 1 species
AUGCCGUCGUCGUCUGCCUCCGCUUCGUCUCUCUUCGCCAUUGUGCCCCUCGACGGCGGUGGCGCGACGAGCCGCCACGCCAUGGACGCCUGCUACCUCUGCGGGAAGCCGCUCUCCAGAGAUUUCGACGUCUUCAUGUACAGAGGGGACACGCCAUUCUGCAGCGAGGAGUGCAGGGCUGUGCAGAUCGAUACCGACGAGGUACGCGAGAGGAUUAACACCAAGAUCCUGAAGGAACGUGCUGCGAGAAACGAGCAGCGCCGCGGGGUGGCUGCCUCCGAGCCCAACAUCACCCGCGCGGGAAAUGUGCCGGUUGCAAGCUAA